GUAUGGCUGUGAAAUGGGCAUUACAUUCUUUUCUCAGUCUUAAAAAGGUCUUACAUUAAACCUGUAGGAACCCUGUUUUUAACAGUGUGUAAGUGAACUCAUCUUCUUUCAAUGCUAUUGACUCCCUGUGUGUUAACAGAUUAAAUGCUGAUGCCUUUCAACGUACCUUUGAGUGGAGGAACCUUUCUUUGUGUGUUCAGCUUCCUUGGAAUCCUCUGCAGAUACUUUUUGGACUUGGAAGUUUGACACAGACUCACAAUCCUGAAGUCUUGGGCCACCUGCCCCAGGAGGAGCUUCAGCUUACUGCCCGUCACAUGGAGUUUCUCCUGGGCUUCAUCGAUGUCUGCUCCAUCCUCAGGCUGCAGCUGGGACCACAGAGCCUGCAGAGAGGCCUGCUGACUCCGCCUGAGCUUCAGCUCCUCCUGCAACUCCUACAAACCACAAACACGGGCUCUGACAGGUGUGUGUGGGUUAUUGAUGUCCACUGCGUAGCGUCUGCUCUCAGCAUGGGCCAGCCACAACAGCAGAGAGUGGAGCGUUUCAUGGAACUCCUACAUGCCAGACAUUAAAGGCAACAUGUCAGCGCAUCAGUGUCUUCCUCAGACUGGUGUCCCACUGCUGAAGGCCGGUACAUGCUCUGCUCCAGCCUCGGUUCACAUCAGACAGUCUCUGCUGGAGAUCUGGGACUCCCUGACCUCUCAGGUUGACCGCCAGC